rnacentral:rRNA from 1 species
UACGUAGGGUGCAAGCGUUGUCCGGAAUUAUUGGGCGUAAAGAGCUCGUAGGCGGUUUGUCGCGUCUGCUGUGAAAACUCGGGGCUUAACUCCGGGCCUGCAGUGGGUACGGGCAGACUAGAGUGCGGUAGGGGAGACUGGAAUUCCCGGUGUAGCGGUGAAAUGCGCAGAUAUCGGGAAGAACACCCGUGGCGAAGGCGGUUCUCUGGGACGGUACUGACGCUGAGACGCGAAAGCGUGGGGAGCAAACAGG